AAAUUGAAGAGUUUGAUCAUGGCUCAGAUUGAACGCUGGCGGCAGGCCUAACACAUGCAAGUCGAACGGUAACAGGAAGCAGCUUGCUGCUUCGCUGACGAGUGGCGGACGGGUGAGUAAUGUCUGGGAAACUGCCUGAUGGAGGGGGAUAACUACUGGAAACGGUGGCUAAUACCGCAUAACGUCGCAAGACCAAAGAGGGGGACCUUCGGGCCUCUUGCCAUCAGAUGUGCCCAGAUGGGAUUAGCUAGUUGGUGAGGUAACGGCUCACCAAGGCGACGAUCCCUAGCUGGUCUGAGAGGAUGACCAGCCACACUGGAACUGAGACACGGUCCAGACUCCUACGGGAGGCAGCAGUGGGGAAUAUUGCACAAUGGGCGCAAGCCUGAUGCAGCCAUGCCGCGUGUAUGAAGAAGGCCUUCGGGUUGUAAAGUACUUUCAGCGGGGAGGAAGGUGUUGUGGUUAAUAACCACAGCAAUUGACGUUACCCGCAGAAGAAGCACCGGCUAACUCCGUGCCAGCAGCCGCGGUAAUACGGAGGGUGCAAGCGUUAAUCGGAAUUACUGGGCGUAAAGCGCACGCAGGCGGUCUGUCAAGUCGGAUGUGAAAUCCCCGGGCUCAACCUGGGAACUGCAUUCGAAACUGGCAGGCUUGAGUCUUGUAGAGGGGGGUAGAAUUCCAGGUGUAGCGGUGAAAUGCGUAGAGAUCUGGAGGAAUACCGGUGGCGAAGGCGGCCCCCUGGACAAAGACUGACGCUCAGGUGCGAAAGCGUGGGGAGCAAACAGGAUUAGAUACCCUGGUAGUCCACGCCGUAAACGAUGUCUACUUGGAGGUUGUGCCCUUGAGGCGUGGCUUCCGGAGCUAACGCGUUAAGUAGACCGCCUGGGGAGUACGGCCGCAAGGUUAAAACUCAAAUGAAUUGACGGGGGCCCGCACAAGCGGUGGAGCAUGUGGUUUAAUUCGAUGCAACGCGAAGAACCUUACCUGGUCUUGACAUCCACGGAAGUUUUCAGAGAUGAGAAUGUGCCUUCGGGAACUGUGAGACAGGUGCUGCAUGGCUGUCGUCAGCUCGUGUUGUGAAAUGUUGGGUUAAGUCCCGCAACGAGCGCAACCCUUAUCCUUUGUUGCCAGCGAUUAGGUCGGGAACUCAAAGGAGACUGCCAGUGAUAAACUGGAGGAAGGUGGGGAUGACGUCAAGUCAUCAUGGCCCUUACGACCAGGGCUACACACGUGCUACAAUGGCGCAUACAAAGAGAAGCGACCUCGCGAGAGCAAGCGGACCUCAUAAAGUGCGUCGUAGUCCGGAUUGGAGUCUGCAACUCGACUCCAUGAAGUCGGAAUCGCUAGUAAUCGUGGAUCAGAAUGCCACGGUGAAUACGUUCCCGGGCCUUGUACACACCGCCCGUCACACCAUGGGAGUGGGUUGCAAAAGAAGUAGGUAGCUUAACCUUCGGGAGGGCGCUUACCACUUUGUGAUUCAUGACUGGGGUGAAGUCGUAACAAGGUAACCGUAGGGGAACCUGCGGUUGGAUCACCUCCUUACCUUAAAGAAGC
rnacentral:rRNA from 1 species